rnacentral:lncRNA from 1 species
GUAAGCGCCGUAGGGUUGCGUCGAGGGGCUUUUGGGACGCGGUGCUUUGUGUUUCAGGACUUUCCAACGGGCGUCCCCAGCCUCGGUUCGCAGGUGUGGGGUCUGCGCUCGGCCGGGACAGCGAACGCCAGCCUGGUCCCCGGGGUGGGCAGGCCCGCCCCCUUCUCUGGCCCGCGGGUUCCUGUUUGCCCUGCCUUCCCCCACCUUCCUAGCGGUUCCACGUCCCUUUCACGUUGCAUUUCGUGAGCGUUUGCCAUGAGCAACGCCCGCGCACGUGCUUUAUCUUAUCUAAUCUGCACAACAGCCUUUGACAUGGGAGUUGUCUCAUUUGUGUAUGAAAAAAAGAAAACUGAAGCUCAGAGCGUAAUUUGCCCCGGUGGCCCAACCUGCGUGGGAAUCUAGGGCAUCUCAGUCCCCACUAUGCCUUGAGGUUCCCAGUUGGCUCCCUGACCAGCAGCAUUUGCAGCUUCAGGGAGCUCGCUGGAAAUGCAGAUGUAGGGCGUACCCCAGACCUUCCAAAUGGAAACUGGAGUGGGGUGCAGGGAGGCAGUCUGUGGUCAACAAGCCCUGGAUGAGUUUUAGGCGCGCUAAAGACCCCUUACUGCACAGCCUUUUUAUGGAGAUCCAUACAGAAGGGGUUUGCCAGAUGCUGGUUGAUGAGUGAACAGAGAAACAAGCUCAAAGCACUUUAGAGGUCGCUUAGCUUGGAUCGUCCCUGGCAGUUUACAGAGGAGAAAACAGAGGCAGAGUGAUUUGCUCGGGGUCAGAGUCAGGAUGCAACCUGGAGGUUUUGACUUCUGUCCAAGGCUCUUUCCACCCCCUCAAAUGGCAGCAGCUGGGUGGAGGAGGGAACCCUGCCUCCCUUGAUGCCAUGUUGGCCCUAGGCUAGGAAGGGCAGUGUUCAGUGUCCCUCACAGCAGACAUCUCUGCCAAUCACUGAGCAUCAAGAUCUUCCGUUCCAGCUUCUGAAGCUUCGUUCAUUUUCCUUGUUCAUGGUAGAACUUCAAAAAAAAAAAGAAAGUGUGUGGGAUUGAAUUGAAUUGAGUUGAAUUUCUCUGGGCCUUGAUUGCUCCAUCUGUAAAACGGGAGCGAUCCUUCAUUUAUUCACUCGUUCAUUGAACAAAUGUUUGUAGAGCCUCUGUGGAUCCUGUUUGGGCCUACAGUGGACACUGAGGCUG